rnacentral:rRNA from 1 species
CGAAAGCCUGACGGAGCAACGCCGCGUGAGGGAUGAAGGCCUCUGGGCUGUAAACCUCUUUUAUCAAGGAAGAAGAUCUGACGGUACUUGAUGAAUAAGCCACGGCUAAUUCCGUGCCAGCAGCCGCGGUAAUACGGGAGUGGCAAGCGUUAUCCGGAAUUAUUGGGCGUAAAGCGUCCGCAGGCGGUCUUGUAAGUCUGUCGUUAAAGCGUGGAGCUUAACUCCAUUUCGGCGGUGGAAACUACAAGACUAGAGUGUGGUAGGGGCAGAGGGAAUUCCCGGUGUAGCGGUGAAAUGCGUAGAUAUCGGGAAGAACACCAGUGGCGAAGGCGCUCUGCUGGGCCAUAACUGACGCUCAUGGACGAAAGCCAGGGGAGCGAAAG